UACGUAGGGGGCUAGCGUUGUCCGGAAUCAUUGGGCGUAAAGAGCGUGUAGGCGGCCCGGUAAGUCCGCUGUGAAAGUCGGGGGCUCAACCCUCGAAUGCCGGUGGAUACUGCCGGGCUAGAGUCCGGAAGAGGCGAGUGGAACUCCUGGUGUAGCGGUGGAAUGCGCAGAUAUCAGGAAGAACACCAACGGCGAAGGCAGCUCGCUAGGACGGUACUGACGCUGAGACGCGAAAGCGUGGGGAGCGAACAGG
rnacentral:rRNA from 1 species